AAAUUGAAGAGUUUGAUCAUGGCUCAGAUUGAACGCUGGCGGCAGGCCUAACACAUGCAAGUCGAACGGUAACAGGAAGCAGCUUGCUGCUUUGCUGACGAGUGGCGGACGGGUGAGUAAUGUCUGGGAAACUGCCUGAUGGAGGGGGAUAACUACUGGAAAUGGUAGCUAAUACCGCAUAACGUCGCAAGACCAAAGAGGGGGACCUUCGGGCCUCUUGCCAUCGGAUGUGCCCAGAUGGGAUUAGCUAGUAGGUGGGGUAA
rnacentral:rRNA from 1 species